rnacentral:lncRNA from 1 species
UUUAUGUAUAAAGAGCUGUCAUUAAAGCAACACGUAUGUUUCACCCUCCCUACAGUGUGUUGUGUCUGUGUGUCGGUGUGACUGUGGGAGCCGAGGGAGCAGAGGUGUCGGUGACACAGGGAGAGGAAUGGAGAGAGAGACGAUAGAUACGGAGGGAGCGAGAUGGUGAGAACAACAGACCUGCGGGAGGGAGGGGGCGCAUGGAGAGAGCGGAGUUCGAUGAACAGAGAAAAAGGGGAAGGAGCGAGACAGGACCCUGAGAGAGAGAGGGAAGGAAACGUUCAAGAUUCUGGAUGAGGGACAGAGCGGAUGGAGAAGGGGAAAGGCUGGAUACAAAGGGAGAGAGAGGUAAAUCCACCCCAAAUGAUACAUUUAUUCAAUUCAAGAUUUCACAAAGCUUGAAGAAAGGGGGUGUCUCAUAAUAGAAUCACUUCAUCAGGAACUCAAGUGCUUGAACGCAGGAUCCAU